UGCUGAUGAGAUUGCAGUAAGGUGCACUGGU
rnacentral:piRNA from 1 species